UCGAGAAUCUUCGGCAAUGGGCGCAAGCCUGACCGAGCGACGCCGCGUGUGGGAUGAAGGCCUUCGGGUUGUAAACCACUGUCGGAGGGGAUGAAAUACCGAUGGGUACUCCUAUCGGUUUGACUGAUCCUCGGAGGAAGGGUGGGCUAAGUUCGUGCCAGCAGCCGCGGUAAGACGUACCACCCAAACGUUAUUCGGAAUCACUGGGCUUACAGAGUCCGUAGGCGGCUCGGAAAGUUGGGCGUGAAAUACCUCAGCUCAACUGAGGAAUUGCGCUCAAAACUACCGAGCUGGAGAGAGACAGAGGUGAGCGGAACUGAUGGUGGAGCGGUGAAAUGCGUUGAUAUCAUCAGGAACACCGGUGGCGAAGGCGGCUCACUGGGUCUUUUCUGACGCUGAGGGACGAAAGCUAGGGUAGCGAACGGGAUUAGAUACCCCCGUAGUCC
rnacentral:rRNA from 1 species